rnacentral:tRNA from 4 species
UGGGCCAUCGCCAAGCGGUAAGGCACAGGACUUUGACUCCUGCAUUCGAGGGUUCGAAUCCCGCUGGCCCAGCGA